AUUUGGCGUAGUCGGCAGGAUCGGAUCAAUUUGGAUGUACUCAUUCCUUUGUUAGGCUGGGAAGACGUGCUGUGGCGUAAGCUGAUGGUCUGCUUUAGCUAUGGCAGAGGAGCUGCAACACUUACGGGAGCAGUUGGAGCAACUGCGUGUGGAAAAUGAGAGACUGAAACGGCAGACUCAAAAUGGAGCUUCAGCAGUUGGUGCUUCAGGUUCAACACUGGAGGGCAGUUGAUGAGAAACCAUACCCA